rnacentral:rRNA from 1 species
UACGUAGGGUGCAAGCGUUGUCCGGAAUUAUUGGGCGUAAAGAGCUCGUAGGCGGUUUGUCGCGUCUGCUGUGAAAACUGGAGGCUCAACCUCCAGCCUGCAGUGGGUACGGGCAGACUAGAGUGCGGUAGGGGAGAUUGGAAUUCCUGGUGUAGCGGUGGAAUGCGCAGAUAUCGGGAAGAACACCCGUGGCGAAGGCGGCUCUCUGGGACGGUACUGACGCUGAGACGCGAAAGCGUGGGGAGCGAACAGG